rnacentral:lncRNA from 1 species
AGGAGGGAGUCAGCUGGGGCCAGCAAACAGCUCAAAUCCCUAUACCAACUCCUUCCUUGCUUUAUCUGCCUCUUGCUCCCAACCUCUGCUACUGAUAAAGUGACUAUUUCAGCAAGGCCUCAAAGUAGGGACAUUAUGGACACAGAAGCCCAGCUAGCUGAGAGGCUGGAGACAGCAGAGGAAACCAGAAGCAGAAGUCUGGGUAAGAAGAACUUUAUGUUUGAUGAUGGUUUCAACUUCUGAUGGAUCUCAUUUGCAUACCAGAGAAGGUCCCACCUGACCAGGACUCCCGGCUCCAAUGAACCUGAUCCUCCCAUUUUG